UCUUCCACAAUGGACGCAAGUCUGAUGGAGCAACGUCGCGUGAGUGAAGAAGGCUUUCGGGUCGUAAAACUCUGUUGUUGGAGAAGAACACGUUUGAGAGUAACUGUUCAGACGUUGACGGUAUCCAACCAGAAAGCCACGGCUAACUACGUGCCAGCAGCCGCGGUAAUACGUAGGUGGCAAGCGUUAUCCGGAUUUAUUGGGCGUAAAGCGAGCGCAGGCGGUUUUUUAAGUCUGAUGUGAAAGCCUUCGGCUUAACCGAAGAAGUGCAUCGGAAACUGGGAAACUUGAGUGCAGAAGAGGACAGUGGAACUCCAUGUGUAGCGGUGAAAUGCGUAGAUAUAUGGAAGAACACCAGUGGCGAAGGCGGCUGUCUGGUCUGUAACUGACGCUGAGGCUCGAAAGCAUGGGUAGCGAACAG
rnacentral:rRNA from 1 species